CUCACUUCCUAACCUUGUGCAAGAAUUUGACUAAUAUGGUUCCCUCUUUAACUUACUCAUCAAUUACAAAAAGUCCACUAUUUUGAAUGUUUUCUCUAGAUGACCAAUGUGCCGACCCGAUCCACCAAUCCUUUCUAUUUCACUGGUCUGCAAAAUCUCUCAGGUACCUGGGAUCUGCAUGACUCCCAAAUUGAGUCAGCUGUAUUCACAAAACAUUUUACCCAUGCUUUGUAAAUUUAGGCAAAAUCUGGAAGAUUGUUUUAAAUAUGUUUAUUGUCAGCAAUAUAAACACGAGUGUUGAACUUGGUAUCGUUGAUGCAUAUAGUUGCCUACGCAGAGGCGUGCACAUUGAAAGUGUAUAUAAUGUGAGGCCGACAUAUUCCAGUUAACUCAAAGUAACACAUAGUUGCCUGCGCAGAGGCAUAUAGGUCAAAAUAAACAUGCAAUGACAAAUAUUAGACAUUUAUAAGCCUUGCAG